UACGGGGGGGGCAAGCGUUGUUCGGAAUUACUGGGCGUAAAGGGUUUGUAGGUGGCUUGUUAAGUCAGACGUGAAAUCCCUCAGCUUAACUGGGGAACUGCGUCUGAUACUGGCGAGCUUGAGUGCAGGAGAGGAACGCGGAAUUCCAGGUGUAGCGGUGAAAUGCGUAGAUAUCGAGAGGAACACCUGCGGCGAAGGCGGGUUGCUGGGCUGACACUGACGCUGAUGCGCGAAAGCUAGGGGAGCAAACGGG
rnacentral:rRNA from 1 species